GCUUCAUGAUUCAGACCUUGGUGAGUGGCGGACGGGUGAGUAACACGUGGGUAACCUGCCCAGAAGUGGGGGAUAACAUUUGGAAACAAGUGCUAAUACCGCAUAACAACAUUUAUCUCAUGAUUUAUGUUUAAAAGAUGGUUCUGCUAUCUCUUCUGGAUGGACCCGCGGCGUAUUAGCUAGUUGGUGAGGUAAUAGCUCACCAAGGCGAUGAUACGUAGCCGACCUGAGAGGGUAAUCGGCCACAUUGGGACUGAGACACGGCCCAAACUCCUACGGGAGGCAGCAGUAGGGAAUCUUCCACAAUGGACGAAAGUCUGAUGGAGCAACGCCGCGUGAGUGAAGAAGGUUUUCGGAUCGUAAAACUCUGUUGUUGAAGAAGAACAUAUGUGAGAGUAACUGUUCACGUACUGACGGUAUUCAACCAGAAAGCCACGGCUAACUACGUGCCAGCAGCCGCGGUAAUACGUAGGUGGCAAGCGUUGUCCGGAUUUAUUGGGCGUAAAGAGAAUGUAGGCGGUUCAUUAAGUUUGAAGUGA
rnacentral:rRNA from 1 species